GCCCAAAUCUCCGUCUGUCCCCGGUCACGGAUGCCCAGUUUUCUCCUUAUGUUGGUGGAAUGGCCUUCUCUCCUACUUCAUCACCCGGAUACAGCCCAUCAUCACCAGGCUACAGUCCGUCAUCUCCUGGAUACAGUCCCACGUCACCUGGAUACAGCCCAACUUCGCCUGGAUACAGUCCCACCUCGCCUGGAUAUAGCCCUACCUCACCAACUUAUAGUCCAAGUUCUCCUGGUUAUAGUCCAACCAGUCCUGCCUAUUCUCCUACCAGUCCAUCGUACUCACCUACUUCACCAAGCUAUAGCCCAACCUCCCCAAGUUACAGCCCAACAUCCCCAAGCUACAGCCCGACCUCUCCAAGUUACAGCCCCACUUCUCCCAGUUACAGUCCAACUUCACCAAGCUAUAGCCCCACCUCACCGGCAUAUAGCCCCACCUCACCUGCAUAUAGCCCCACCUCACCUGCAUACAGCCCCACUUCACCAUCGUACAGCCCAACCUCUCCUUCCUACAGCCCAACAUCACCUUCGUACAGCCCUACCUCACCGUCAUACAGCCCCACUUCUCCAUCGUACAGCCCCACUUCACCAGCCUAUAGCCCCACUUCUCCUGGUUAUAGUCCAACUUCACCAAGUUAUAGCCCAACUUCACCAACCUAUAGUCCUACAUCCCCAAGCUACAAUCCUCAGUCUGCCAAAUACAGUCCGUCGCUGGCCUACUCACCAAGUAGUCCAAGAUUAUCUCCUGCCAGUCCGUACAGCCCUACAUCUCCAAAUUACAGGUAAGCCAUAGUGCGAUAUGUGGUCAAGUCUAAUGUUUGUGUUAAAAGCUGUAUCCAAUUUAUUAGGUCUUGUUUUUGAUAGAAUUCUAUAUACUGAAAUAUCUGUUGAACCUAAGACUUGCUGUAGCUGGGGAUUGGACUUGGAUGGGUUUAAAUUAUUAAUGAUUUUAUCUCUGUUGUUUUUAACAUUAUUAUAUCUGGAUGAUUAUGUUGAUGUAUCUUGUAAGCAACUUUUCUUUUUACGCAGUCCAACAUCAUCUUCGUAUUCACCGACAUCUCCCUCUAUGAUACUGGACCAAUGAUGAGAUGUUCAUUUGAAGAAACGGUUGACAUUCUUCUUGAUGCUGCAGUCUUUGCAGAAUCAGAUUAUUUGAGGGGGGUCACUGAGAAUAUAAUGUUAGGUCAGCUUGCGCCUAUUGGGACAGGAGACUGUUCAUUGUAUCUCAAUGAUGAGAUGCUGAAAAAUGCCAUCGAACUUCAGCUUCCUAGUUAUAUGGAAGGUCUGGAGUUUGGCAUGACACCUGCUCGUUCUCCGGUGUCUGGGACUCCUUAUCAUGAUGGCAUGAUGUCUCCAGGUUACUUGUUUAGCCCAAAUCUCCGUCUGUCCCCGGUCACGGAUGCCCAGUUUUCUCCUUAUGUUGGUGGAAUGGCCUUCUCUCCUACUUCAUCACCCGGAUACAGCCCAUCAUCACCAGGCUACAGUCCGUCAUCUCCUGGAUACAGUCCCACGUCACCUGGAUACAGCCCAACUUCGCCUGGAUACAGUCCCACCUCGCCUGGAUAUAGCCCUACCUCACCAACUUAUAGUCCAAGUUCUCCUGGUUAUAGUCCAACCAGUCCUGCCUAUUCUCCUACCAGUCCAUCGUACUCACCUACUUCACCAAGCUAUAGCCCAACCUCCCCAAGUUACAGCCCAACAUCCCCAAGCUACAGCCCGACCUCUCCAAGUUACAGCCCCACUUCUCCCAGUUACAGUCCAACUUCACCAAGCUAUAGCCCCACCUCACCGGCAUAUAGCCCCACCUCACCUGCAUAUAGCCCCACCUCACCUGCAUACAGCCCCACUUCACCAUCGUACAGCCCAACCUCUCCUUCCUACAGCCCAACAUCACCUUCGUACAGCCCUACCUCACCGUCAUACAGCCCCACUUCUCCAUCGUACAGCCCCACUUCACCAGCCUAUAGCCCCACUUCUCCUGGUUAUAGUCCAACUUCACCAAGUUAUAGCCCAACUUCACCAACCUAUAGUCCUACAUCCCCAAGCUACAAUCCUCAGUCUGCCAAAUACAGUCCGUCGCUGGCCUACUCACCAAGUAGUCCAAGAUUAUCUCCUGCCAGUCCGUACAGCCCUACAUCUCCAAAUUACAGGUAAGCCAUAGUGCGAUAUGUGGUCAAGUCUAAUGUUUGUGUUAAAAGCUGUAUCCAAUUUAUUAGGUCUUGUUUUUGAUAGAAUUCUAUAUACUGAAAUAUCUGUUGAACCUAAGACUUGCUGUAGCUGGGGAUUGGACUUGGAUGGGUUUAAAUUAUUAAUGAUUUUAUCUCUGUUGUUUUUAACAUUAUUAUAUCUGGAUGAUUAUGUU
rnacentral:lncRNA from 1 species